AAGCCUGAUCCAGCAACGCCGCGUGGGCGAUGAAGGCCUUCGGGUCGUAAAGCCCUUUUGCAGGGGAAGAUAAUGACGGUACCCUGNGAAUAAGCCACGGCUAACUACGUGCCAGCAGCCGCGGUAAUACGUAGGUGGCAAGCGUUGUCCGGAUUNACUGGGCGUAAAGGGCGUGCAGGCGGUCUNGNUAAGUCUAGGGUGAAAGCUCCCGGCUCAACUGGGAGAGGUCCUUGGAUACUGCCGAACUUGAGNUAUGCAGAGGAAAGUGGAAUUCCCGGUGUAGNGGUGAUAUGCGNAGAUAUCGGGAGGAACACCUAUGGCGAAGGCAGCUCGCUGGGACGUUACUGACGCUGAGACGCGAAAGCGUGGGGAGCAAACAGGAUUAGAUACCCUGGUAGUCCACGCCGUAAACGAUGGGCACUAGGUGUGGGAGGUGUCGACUCCUCCCGUGCCGGAGCUAACGCAUUAAGUG
rnacentral:rRNA from 1 species